GGCGCUCUGCUCUUCCCGGUCAUGGAGGCGCCAGCCGCCCGCUUGUUUCUGCUCCUGUUGCUUGGGACUUGGGCCCCGGCGCCAGGCAGCGCCUCCUCCGAGGCACCGCCGCUGAUCAAUGAGGACGUGAAGCGCACAGUGGACCUAAGCAGCCACCUGGCUAAGGUGACGGCCGAGGUGGUCCUGGCGCACCUGGGCGGCGGCUCCACGUCCCGAGCUACCUCUUUCCUGCUGGCUUUGGAGCCUGAGCUCGAGGCCCGGCUGGCGCACCUGGGCGUGCAGGUAAAGGGAGAAGAUGAGGAAGAGAACAAUUUGGAAGUACGUGAAACCAAAAUUAAGGGUAAAAGGUAAGCUGACAAACAAUAUACCUUGUCUCUUGUUAAAGGUUAUGUCAGGGUUGGGAUCAUAUGGGAUCAUAAACUAGGAGAGUUGCUUAGGAAGUGCCUGCUUUAUUACAGGGUUUUUUUUUUUUUUUUUUUUUUUUGUAGAGAGGAGGUCUAGCUAUGUUGCCCAGGCUGGUCUUGAACUCCUGAGCUCAAGCCAUCCUUGGCCUCUCAAAGUGCUGGGAUUACAGGUGUGAACCACUGCAUCUGUCCUAGAGGAUUUUUUUUUUUUUUUUCUUGAGACAGGGUCUGUUGCCCAGGCUGCAUUACUAUGGUGCCAUGUUGACUCACUGCAACCUCCACCUCCAGGGCUCAAACCGUCCUUCUCCCUCAGCCUCCCAAAUAGGUGGGACUAGAGGUGUGUACCACCACACUCGG
rnacentral:sRNA from 1 species